UCGCAGCAAUAUCUUUCUCUGCUCCGAUUGCAACGCUGUCUCGUUCAAAAAUCAUAACACCGACGCGCCGCCACGUUUGCCAGCCGGAGCCUCAAAUCAUGUCCCUUUGUGGUGAUAAAGAGGACACAGCCUGGUGUGAAGCUACAUUUAUUACGGAAGGAUGCCAGCCGGGAUCCCAACACGUCCGAUAUCAUCCAAGAGAAUGUGACAGCUGAAGGGGGAGAGGCCAAGAAAGAGGCCAAGGGUGAAGACAUUUAGCCACCCCCCCUGAAGUACGUGGCAGCAUUCAACCCUCUUGGUGAGCUGCAGGAAUGUGCUUCCCAUUGCAGUGCACCAGCUCCAUGUACUGAUUUUGGGUGUGAACUUGAUGGGGUUGGAGGAAACUCGACUCGGUCAUCAAGCUCACCACAAUAUAACAUGAAAAGUGAAAAUUGCUGCACACAACUGUCUGCCGUCUGCACCGGGAGGCAAGGCAGCUCAAAGCCCAGGCUGUUACAACUCCUGGGCAGUUUUUGCCCAGAGCCAGCAAUUUUUUAGAUCCAAUAGGGAUGGAUUUUUUCUGAGGUCAGGUUCAACAUGCUGCAAGAUGCCAAGAUCUAAGCCUAGUAGGAGAUAUGGGUUACAAGAGAGGAGGUUUGCUCUGGCCUUAUACUAUCAAAGGCCAAAUGCUAAUAGAUUUCUAAGCACAGUAUUUCACUUGCCUUCUGUUUCAAUACUUCACUUAUGACUCAGGGGUAUUUCAGUAAAUGUUGGCUGGAGCAAACACUCUGACAGCCCUGCAGCAAAGAGCACAGGCUUUGUCAAAAGAAGAGAAACUUCAUGGGAUUUGCCAUUAUUUAGUAUUACUCUUGUUACGCCAAGAAUAUUUUUCCAUAUACUUUGCCAAAUAUUGCAAGUAAUGCACCAUUGUUGGGCUUGCUUGGUAUAAAUCAGAUCUUGUUCAAUUAACAAGCUUUGGGUGUCUGCCACUUUCCAGUUGUAAUGCAAGGAAUCAUUUAUCUCCCCUGCCAGAUAUCACAUGUAAUGCACCAUUGUUGGUUUUGCCUGUUAUAAAUCAGAUCUUGUUCAAUUAACAAGCUUUGGGUGUCUGCCACUUUCCAGUUGUAAUGCAAGGAAUCAUUUAUCUUCCCUGCCAGAUAUCACAUGUAAUGCACCAUUGUUGGUUUUGCCUUUUUUUUACGUCGUUGCCUGUUGCGCCGGUAGGCAUCUUCCUGGUGGGGCCUGAUGGUCGGCCCAAGGCUUCUUCCAGGUGGGGCCUGAUGGUCGGGCCAGCCCGUUCUGGCGCAGGCGAGUGUUUAUAGUGGCGCCAUCUUGCAUUGGCUCAUGCUGCCCCCCGGAACUCGUUCUUGAUUCGCUUGGACGGCUUCCUCUAGAGUCCGGGUUGAUGGGUGGUCUUCAGGACAGCAUGUGGGUAGUUUUAAGCCACUCGGCGGUGACUGAAAAAUCCGAGUGGUAGCGUGGGGAUUCGAACCCGCGUCGUCCAUCACGCGGUGAAAGUGGGCCCAGUACGCUACCAGGUCGGCCACCGCCUGUUAUAAAUCAGAUCUUGUUCAGUUAACAAGCUUUAGGUGUCUGCCACUUUCCAGUUGUAAUGCAAGGAAUGCGCCCCUGCCAGAUGUCGCAUGUAAUGCACCAUUGUUGGUUUUGCCUAUUAUAAAUCAGAUCUUGUUCAGCUCACAAGCUUUGAAUAUCUGCCAUUGUUCAUUUCAGGUGUAAUGGUUGGAAGCAUUUGUUCUCUUCCCUACCCAACAGUAUGCAAUGCUUUAUUGUGAAUUUUGCCUGUUAUGUUUAAUCUUGUUCAGGUAACAAGUUUUUGGUGUCUGCCUUACCUAAUAUGUGCUGCAGUGACACUUGGCUUGGUUUCAUAAUGUGAAAUACAGCAUGUAAUUUCAUCACACUAAGUGUCUAUCAUCACGUGUCUGGCAUCAUUAAUGUGGCUUCCAGGAGUAAUCUUGUUUGUAUUACAGCAUGCAAUUUUUUUUCUGCUUUAUAGGAUAUACAUAAUCACAUAGGUAUGAUUUUUUUUUCUGACAAAAUGUAAUGGCAGUUGAUAUUCUUGACUAAUGCCUCUUAAACCUUGUGAAAAAUAAUGCUUUUUUGAGGGGGUGGGGGAUGGACAGAGUGGUUUGUUUGAUUGGCCAGUUCAAGGAGUUUCAUAUCAAAUGAUUUUAUUAUAUCCAACUUUAAUGUGUGCUAAAAACAUAUAUUUUAUUACAUCCAACUUUAAUGUGUGGUUCCUGCAAUAAAUGCUACAUGUUUACUGAUGUAGCCUAUAAAAUACAUAUCACUCUCUGCCCUGUAAUUUGGUGUGUCACAUACUGCAGCAUAACUUUCCUGCUAUUUUCUUACACUAUGAGUUGUCUUAUUUUGCCUCAUUUGCUUUUGUCAUAUGUGCCUCCGCUGCAUAGUUGUGCCUACUGAGCUUAAUAUCUUCAUGACCCUGACACCAAGGUCAGAGCCUGUGAGAUCUUACCGUGUCCUACAUCCCAUUUUCACCUCCCGGCUCGGCUGUCUCCCAGGACCACCAAGUUAUUGCAUUCCAUUUACGACAACUCAUGUGUUACCUUCUUGAUGUCCUCCAUCAUGUAUUUCAGCAUGUUUUAUGAUGCCUUACUCUUAUAUUGAUGUGCCUUGCAACAUUUUUAUACAGUUUUUAUUGUAUAUAACGCACCAUUGUUGGUUUUGUCUGUUAUAAAUCGGGUCAUGUUCAGUUAACAAGCUUUGAGUGUCUCCCAUUGUCUAUUUCAGCUGUAAUGCUUAGAAGCUUUUGUUCUCUGCCCUGUCAAACAGUAUGCAAUGCUUGCCAUUAUUUGGCACUUGUACAGUUUGUAUGAUAUUUUUACUCAGCUAAGAGCAUGUUGCAAAAGGUAAAGGUACGGUUGGGGGCAUACGCUGUAGCAGCGCGUGGCCUCGGUGCUCAUCUCCGUAACAUUGGCCCUUGAGCCUGUGGUGUUAGGGAACCCAUUACCCUGGGACACAGGACCAGUGUGACAUCCGGGUUACCACAGUUGCAAAGGCAUUAUAGUAAUUUAGCAUGCAUAGAAUGUUGUAUGCUUUGCUUGUAUUUAAAGCACUGGAUAUGUUUGCUGCACACACACAC